CAGUGACGCUGCAGCUGCUGUUGUGACUCCUCGCCUGUCGGUGGCGCCAGAGGUUGUUCCGCUGUGUUGUUGUGAUUCCUUCAGCUUCCUGUUUCCUGUGUUCUCUUGUCAGGUGUGUUCCAUCCGUCGUCUCUGGGAAGCCUGCGCUGCCCUUCACAUUAAAACCCACUGGGUCAAAGCAGCACCGUUCUCUCGUCCACACGUGGACGGGUUGUGGCUCAUCAACAGAAUUCUACACAAUGAAACAAAUAUUUCCAGUAUAGAGUUGGAUCAUUGCUGAGGCAAAUCCCAGCAGUAACCUCCACAUGUACUGUAGAAAGGCUGGUGAACCUGUGAUGAGGCAGCACGACCCCCUUCCCCUCUGGACCUAUAGACGCCCUCAUUGAUGCCUGUGUAAUUAUCCCAUGUGUCAUGUGGCCUGGGGGAGUGGAAUGCUUAACCCGUGAGGAGGAAGGGCCACGAGGAUCAGCGCCGAGCCCCGCGGCGCCGACGCAGAUGUGCUGCCCUGGACAGUUGUUGCUCAUAAUAAGAAAUCACACAAUGAAGUGGGAAAUGAAUGCGUAAAUACCAGUUAGCUGCGUAAUGAAGUUUAAUUAAAGAUGUAAAUAGAAAAAUAAAAACUGCCACAUUUGUA